rnacentral:rRNA from 1 species
UACGUAGGGGGCAAGCGUUGUCCGGAAUCAUUGGGCGUAAAGCGCGUGUAGGCGGCCCGGUAAGUCCGCUGUGAAAGUCGGGGGCUCAACCCUCGAAUGCCGGUGGAUACUGUCGGGCUAGAGUGCGGGAGAGGCGAGUGGAAUUCCUGGUGUAGCGGUGAAAUGCGCAGAUAUCAGGAGGAACACCAAUUGCGAAGGCAGCUCGCUGGAACGUAACUGACGCUGAGAACGCGAAA